UUUGUACUCCCUCCGUCCCAAAAUUCUUGUCUUAAAUUUGUCUAAAUACGGAUGUAUCUAGUUAGAUUUUAGUGUUAGAUACAUCCGUAUCUAAACAAAUGUAAGACAAGAAUUUUGGGACGAAGGGAAUACUAC
rfam:Triticum aestivum genome assembly, contig: Triticum_aestivum_CS42_TGACv1_scaffold_130200_2BL